rnacentral:rRNA from 1 species
UACGAAGGGGGCGAGCGUUGUUCGGAAUUACUGGGCGUAAAGGGCGCGUAGGCGGCCGAUCAAGUCAGAUGUGAAAGUCCUGGGCUUAACCUGGGGACUGCAUUUGAUACUGAUUGGCUUGAAUUCGGGAGAGGAUAGCGGAAUUCCCAAUGUAGAGGUGAAAUUCGUAGAUAUUGGGAAGAACACCGGUGGCGAAGGCGGCUAUCUGGACCGACAUUGACGCUGAGGCGCGAAAGCGUGGGGAGCAAACAGG